UGGAGCCGAAGAGGCAGGAUCGCCAAGCGGACCCGUUUUGGAGGUCACAGCUCCUCUGGGCGCGGCUUAGUGGCGGAGCUUGCAGUGAGGGGAGGGUCUUCCACUUGUCGCCAGCGUGAACUCUGGUGCCCCGUGAGUGUUCGGAAUGGACCCCCAAAUCUGCCCCCGCCAGGUCGCACUCGACUCUGUUUCGACGACUUUUUUUGUAUCACUUUCUCUUCCUUUUUGCCUUGGGGUCCCUUUGGUCCCUCCCUUUCUCUUCGCUCUCAGAAAUCCGAGUUUCGCAGAUGCUUAGCUCAGAGGAGAAAAUUGUGUGCGGAAUUAAGUCCUUCCUUCUGUUAGGCAGUUGGAUGGGAGGGACCAAAAAUCACUUGGUGUCCUGACAAGAUUUGUUACUGUUGCUAAGAUCGUCAGCUCUAAUGCUUUGAGGGAGAUAACUUCCUGCAAACCUAGAACUUUCGGAUUUCUUCCGAGCUUGAAGCUUCUUCACUUACCACACCAGAAGAAACCUUGCAUGUGUGCAUUCAACAUGUCCAAGCUUAUGUCCACAUCCUUCACUUCCUGCAAAUAGUGAUAUCUAAUCAGCACAGCUCUGUCUGCCCCCUGAUCUGGGCACACAUGGUCCCCUGAUCUCAUGGACUCCUUACACUUUGCAAUUGGAGGAAGAUCCUUCCAGAUCACGCCACAUGAAGAUGGAGGCAGAUGUUGGACUGAUGCUUCUACAAGCCAGAGAACUCCAAGGUGGCCAGCAUAUCAUCAGAAGCUAUGGGAGAGGCAUGAAACAGAUCUUUCCCUCACUGCCCUCAGAAGGAACAGGUGGUGCUGACACCUUGAUCUCGGAUUCUAGCCUCCAAAACUAUUGCAGACAUGGUACUGGUGAGCUACCUCAGCCCAUGUGGAUGAAGACAACUGAGGGGCCCCUGGCUGGCUCAGUCAGAAGAGCAUGUGACUUGAUCUCAGGGCCGCCAGGUCCAGGCCCACAUUGGACCUGGAGCUUACUCAAAGAAGAAAAGACAACUGAAGCAGUUGCUUUUUACUCUGAUGUUAAAUAGAAUCCAUAUAUUGAGGCUAGUAGAGACACAUUGUCAACUGGAUCCUUGGAUAAAUUCAUGGAGUAGUCUGUCUUCCUAUGCCACACUGUAGAAGAGGGAGAAAUAAACAUAUCUUAUUUAAAACAA